ACAGAUUGUUGUUCUGCUUUGUUAAACCACUUUCCAUGGCAAGCUCUCUUUCUACAACCCAUUUUUCCAAUUCUCUUCACCACCUUAGCAUUACUACAAAACCCACCACCCUCUCACUAAGUCAAAACCUUAGAAUAUGUUCCAAGAAUCUUAAUAUACUCAAACUCUCACCAACUAGAUUUAAUGUCACCACAACCUUUGCUGCUUCUUCUGCAGGCAAGUUUUUACUUACUCUUUUGUCUUUUCCCUUUGUAAAGUAAAUAACUUAAAUAAAGUUUUUUGAUGCUGCCACUUAUAGAUUUUGACUGGACUAUAAUUGGAGUUAUAGAAUUCAUCAUAUAAUGAUGAAUAUUAGAUGAUCAAAAUAGUAGAGGAAAGUUAAGGACCAAUUUUCUUAGGCUUAGAACAAUUUAAUCUAUAGAACUGAUUUUGACAAAUGUGACUUUAUGAGAAACUAGUUUUUCAAAUAAGCUUAAUUUUAGCUUUUUUAUGGCUUCUGAGUUAUUUCCAAAAGUCCAACCAAACAAGUAUGCUAGUGUCAGAAGUGAUUUUUUAGUGAAAAUAUAUUAUUUUCAAGAUGUAUUAUAGGAUAUAUUUGUCUAUAUAUAUCUUUCAGUUAUUAUAUGUCAACUUUAUUAUAUCAAGGUAUCUUUAUCAUAUCUCUUAUCUGCAAUUGUGCUUCCUAGAGAUAAUCAAGUUGGUAGAGGAAAGUUAAUUUAUUUUUUCAACAGUCCUUGUGUUAAUUGAAUGGUUAUAUUAAAUAUAAGGAUGAAGUUUCUAUGGAUUUAUGUGAGCAGGACUUGAGUCUUCUAAGUUGAGUGAGGAUAUCAAUAGUUCACUGGAUUUGGUGAAAGUGUUUGACUUGAAAGGAAAUGAGAUUCCAAUUUCUGACUUGUGGAAAGAUAGGAAAGCUGUUGUGGCAUUUGCUCGCCAUUUCGGGUGAUUUUCUCCUAUUUGAUGCACAAAUUCAGUUACUCUUAAGUUACAUCUCCUAUCUCUUGUUUGAUUUUGUUUAACAAUUAAAUGUGACCCGUGUUUCAUUACAUCAAAGGUGCGUGUUUUGCCGCAAAAGGGCUGAUUAUCUUGCAUCCAAGAAGGUAAAGUUUUCUACUUAUCUUAUACAAACAUGAACUAUUUCCUAAAAGUUGAUGCAUCAUCUGUUAUUUCUCUUUCGCUUGUUAUUUUUUGAAUUGCUAUAUGUUCUCACAAGCUUUCGCCUUAGAAUCAUUUGACUCUUGUCAGAAAUUUGAACAUUGCUUUUAGCACUCAAGUCUUCCGCGACGAUAAUUCCGGUCCUUGGUUUUAGUGUUUAGUACUUACAAGAUAUGCAUCUUAACUCAAAAUGUUUGUCCAGAUACAUGACCCGUCUUGCUUGUCCCCUUUCACAUGUUGAAUGUUUGUAUAGCUUCCUUUUGUUGUAAGCUGUACUUUACAUUGCUGCUUUUAGAUGAAGAUAUCCUCCUUUAAACCUUAGGCCUUAGCAUCAUCGGGGAUGGCCAACCCAUGAAUCUAAUUUUCUUCAAUAUAUAGCUUGCUAUGAAAGUUUUGCCAAGACUAUAUGAAUCUUAUUUCGUCUUCUGUAUUACAUGGUAAUAGUUUUAGUUGUAAAAUGGAAAGUUUUAUACUUCACAGAGAUAUUCCUCUAAUAAAAUGGAUAUGUUAUAUCAACAGGAUAUAAUGGAUUCAUCUGGUGUCACACUUGUAAUAAUUGGACCUGGGAGCAUUGAUCAGGUAUGUUAGAAGAAUUAUAGUGAAUGUUUGUACUUUUGGUUUGGGCUUAAUUUUUUUGCUGUUCUCUGUUAUGCAUACGAUCUUCUUGGCGGGAAAGCAUAAUUCGUCCCACAAUUUGUGUCACUCUCGAUUAUGCCAAAGGAUUCUGUUUGGUUAAAAAGCUGGAUAAUUAAUUUAUAAUUUUUAGACCAAUCCUCAUCCUAUGGCACAUGAGCGGCACACAAUGUGGAACAAGUAGUGUUAUCCCCUUCUUAACAUGGUUAAUCCAAUACAAAUUCAUGUUUUCAGAACAUGCUCUCAUAAGAUAUGAUUUUGACUGGGAAAGAUUGCAAGAGAUUGCGUAUCUUCUUCAAUUGGAGUUUUUGUUUUUUGUAUUUUUUGAGUCGGGGUGCUGAAGAUCAUCUUUCUUGAUAUAUUUCUCAGCUUGCUUCCAAGUUCCAAGUAUUGAUUUUAUGCUUUCUGUUAUCAUCUGAAUAUGCUGGAAUUUCACUGUUAAUGGCAUAAUGCCUAUAUUUAAUACAGGCUAAAGCCUUUGCUGAGAAAACAAAAUUCAAAGGAGGUACUUCGCAACUAACCUAAUGCUUGUGCAAGUUUUAGUAACUUAGUCAUCUUAUGUCAACAUUUUGACAGGACCUUAUUAUCUGUUGUAGAAAUCUAUGCAGACCCGGCUCACACCUCGUAUGAGGCAUUGAAAUUUGUUUCGGGAGCUUUAACCACAUUUACCCCAAAUGUAAGCGAUAAUCGUCCAGCUCCUUUAUUCAUAAAAAGUGCAUAAAAGACGAGUGCCUGAAUGAUACCUGUUCACAAAUUGAGAUUUUUUGUUAACUGUGUGGAGGAUCUCCUACCUUAAUUUUAGCUGUUAUAUUGCAGGCUGGUCUUAAGAUAAUACAGUUAUACAUGGAAGGUUACCGACAAGAUUGGAAGCUUUCAUUUGAAAAGGAUACUGUCGAAAGAGGAGGCUGGUAUGUAAAUUAUCUCACAAGAAGUCUUACACUAUCUGGCUAUAAUGAGUUGUCAAGACUCAUCUAGUUUACACCACCAUAAAAAAGAUAAUUCAUGGUUUCAUCUUUACCUUUUAGCCCAAAUUCCUGAAGUUCUGUUUUACCAGGAAUAUAUGAUUUAGGAUAGAAGAUAAGAAUAUGUCUAGUCUAGCUACUUCUAGAAUUUAGAUGUGUCUUGGAUAUACCUUCACAUGGUAGAUAAUUAAAUUUGUAUGCGUGUCCUAUUGAUUCUGAAUCACUUUCUCCAGUCCAUUGAAGCCAGUGACACGGGACAAGAUCAUGUUUUUCUGUUUAUGAUUGGCUGAACUUCUCAUUGAGAUUAUGAACUUCGCAUUGUGGCAGGCAACAAGGAGGAAUUAUAGUUGCAGGUCCGGGUAAAAGUAACAUCUCAUACAUUCACAAGGUGUGUGUUCAUUUUUUAUAAAACAUUUUCCUUUAUAGCUUAGCUAGAAUUAGUCAUGAACCAGAACAAUAUUCAUGGCCUGUGUUACUGUUCACAUUUUUCUGAUAUGAUUAUGUGUAAUAUGAGCAGGAUAAAGAAGCCGGUGAUGACCCAGACAUCCAAGAUAUCUUAAAAGCAUGCUGCUCAUGAAGAAAGAAGUGAGGGAACCCCUCUUUUGCUGCUAUAUUUGUCUUGCUUUGUGAAGUGUGAUACUCUCAGGGGCAUUGUAUAUUGUAUCUGCUUCUUGCACUGAGAAGUAGCUUUGUCUUGAGGUUCAGUUAUAAGAUUACCUGUUAUGCAAGGCUAUGUUUUGAAAUGUAUCACUAAUAGCUACUAACUCAUGAAACUGUUGUCUGUUUCAAAAUAUUGUAUAUAAGAUUUUUACAUUUCAAGAGAAAUUGGUUCAAAAUUUAUGUUAAUCAUAUAUGCCUGACUCAUUCAACCUCUUCCCAUUCCUAACCAGUUUUGGGAGGACGUCUCGAUGGAUUUUAUUGGAGGGUUACCGAAAUCCAGCGGGGCAGACACGGUUUUGGUGGUGGUGGAUCGUCUCAGUAAGUAUGCUCAUUUCAUCCCAUUACAUCAUCCGUAUACUUCUAAGGAGGUGGCUUAAGCAUUUGUCAAGGAGGUUAUUCGGUUGCAUGGUUUCCCUAUCUCGAUUGUUUCCGAUCAUGAUCAUGUUUUUAUGAGUAUGUUUGGAAGGAAUUAUUCUGUUUGGCCGGCACUAAACUGCAUUUCAGUUCGGCAUAUCACCCACAAACUGAUGGCCAGACGUAAGUUAUUAAUAGAACACUGAAAACUUACUUACACUGUUUUGUGAAUGAGCACCCUAAACAGUUGAUUAAAUGGUUGGCUUGGGCUGAGUUAUGGUUUAAUUGCUCCUACAAUGCUUCUACUCAUAUGUCUCCUUUUAAGGCUUUGUAUGGUAGAGACUCACAUUCAAUUAUUCCUUUUAGAAAUGAGAGCACUGUUGUGGCUGUUGUGGACAGUUUGCUCCAAGAAAGAGACAGCAUCCUUGAAGAACUCAAGGAAAAUUUGGCUAAAGCUCAACACUGCAUGCAAAUCCAAGUCGAUAAGAAACGAAGAGAAGUAGAGUUUCAGGUGGGAGAUUUGGUGUUUCUAAAGGCUCAACCUUACAAACUUCGUUCAUUAACUCAGGCUCAAUGAGAAGUUAAGUCCCCAUUUUUAUGGCCAUUUUACAGUGCUAGAAAAAAUAGGCAAUGUAGCCUAUAGAUUGCAGCUGCCGGCUUACUCACGGGUGCACCCCAUUUUCCACGUGUCUCAACUCAAAAUAGCACCUUCCUCUAGUGUCCCUUGUCAACAGUUUCCAGCAAGUUUGACGGAGGAUUGGGAAUUACUGGUUGUGCCUGAACAAGUGUUGGCAGGUCGCAAGUUGUUGAAUGGAAAAACUGAAGUCUUAAUUAAAUGGGCUGAACUCCCUGCACAUGAUAAUACUUGGGAGGAUUUCGAGUUAUUAUGGUCAACUUUCCAUGCUUUCCACCUUGAGGACAAGGUGUUGCUCGUUGGGACGGGUAUUGAUGGAGCCCCAAUUAAGAAGGUUUAUCAGAGAAAAAGAAAAGAUGCUCAGGGUAAAGUGGGAACAAGAGCCAAAGAGUUGGUUGCAAAUGCCCCUAACCAAUUGGACACGUGGCAGAUAGAGAAUGGGAGAUCAGAUCCCGAAAUCAGUGAGGGGUGAAUAUGAGGAGAGUGAGGCAAGGGGAAUGAGUAGGCAAUCAUUUGGAUAAGGAAUCAAGGGAAUAUUUCCCAUAUUACUUAUAUUUUUUCUCUUCUGCACUUCUGCUAGGCAAAUACCAUUGUACUUUUGCAGACUAUAAUCUUGUAGCGAAGCUUAUAUACUACCAUUACAGUUUCUCUUUUCUAAUUGUUGUUUCAUUCUCUUAAUUAUAUUCUGGUACCUAUCAGAAUGACACUACCUGAUACCAUUAUUUGUUAUCCCAAAAAAUACUAAUAGAGAAUUCCAACUUCUUUGGCUCUCUUUCCUGCAAAAUUACCAAGCAUGCAAUAUAUGCAUGAACGCAAAGAAUAAAAGACUCAUUUUUUAUGGUACACUAUUACAUCUUAUGCUGCAGCAGACUGCUUCUCUUCAUAAUCAUCAAGAUUAAGAGCAUGAAGUAACUUUGGCCAAGUUUCUGGGAUUCCUCCUGGCAAGUCGAACUCCAAAAGUUUUCCUCUACUACGAUAAAAUUCCUCCACAGGCUGACUCUGGAAUCAUGGAAGAAAACAGGUUUUAAAACAAUUAUAGAUGGCAGGGGUAAAAAACAAAAAAAAGAUAUCAACUUUAAUGGAGAGUAGAACCACAACUUUAUCAAAACUAUCACAAGGCCCCCAUAACUAAGAUAUCAUAUACACAACUUCUAACUCUAGUAGCCAAAUUGCUUUCUUAAGUCCACUACUGAUGAUGAUGAUGAUGAUACAAUAAUAUUAACGGGGUUAAGUACCAUUUCGUUAUAUAUUCGAAGCCUUUCUUUGACCACUGCUUCAGUAUCAUCUGAACGAAUAAUGAGCUUUGACAUGCAAUGUGCGGGAGGAAGAAAUGGAGGCAUGACUGUCCCUGGGCAGCCAUUCUCACCCUUCAUGUUAAUGGAGGCAACAUUAAAAUUUCCUCCACACUGACUGCAAAUUCUCCUGCCAAGGCAUUUCUCAAGCAGCACUUCUUCUUUGGGCUUCAGAUUGACUACCAAGUCAAUGUCAGUUACCCCUUCCAAUAUUUCCUGACCACACAAAAAGGUAAUACAAAUCAAAAAAUUAUACUUCACAUUGUUCACAAAGUUGUUUAUUGUCUUUCUUAUCCCCGAUGACUCGAUAAUUAACAAAAAAAUGCUUCCAAAAAAGUAAACAUGUUACAUUGUUACCAAAUCGUUGCAACUUUAACAGAUAAAAAAGGAUAAAGUUGUUUAGGGAGGACAGAAAACAAAGCUGCUAGUUUGGUUAGUUAGUCUCUGGAAACACAGACAUAUAUUAAUUGAUAUAAAAAAGAACAUUGAGUGAGACCUUGGUUAUUCCAAAAUUUGAGUUUAAUUUUGAUCCAUUGCCAGUUUUAACUAUUUUACAUUAUCAUCCAAAAAUACUUUGUGACAUCAUUAAAAGUGUUUGACCUACGAGGUAGUUGCAAUCAUAAUUUAUAAUGUGGUAAAACAAAUAAAAUAUAAUUAGAUGAUAGUCAAAAAAAUUGAAAGCAUUUCAAAAUUAAAUUUGAAGUAUUUAUGAAGUUUUUGGUGAAAACUGAAAGGCAAUAAAUGGGAAUAAAGGAACCUACAGAAGCUAUAUGGGGAUGGGGGCAACAAUGUAAUUAAAAAAUACUCACCGCUUGCUUUAUUGUUCGAGGAAAACCAUCAAGAAUAAAUCCUGGCUCACGUUUAGCUUCUCCGGCAGCCAGUCUCACUGACAAUAAACUUAUAAUAAUUUCAUCAGACACCAAUUUACCUUGAUUUACAAUUUCUGAUAGCUGUAAGUGUAAGAGACCAAAAAAUUCCAAAUACGAAAACAUCAGAGAUGGUGCAAUGGAGCAUCCUUUUACAAUUAACAUGUAAUUUUCAAUUCAAACUCAUCAGCUCCCAAUAAACAAAUAAAAAUUAUAGCAUGCCAUAAAUACCAUAACUACACAGUAUUAAAAGCUGAAAAUAGAUUAAGAAUAGCAAAACUACCAAUAACUUGUACACUUAAAAAUGAAAAAAAGGAAAAUAAGAAGCAAUCAACACUUCAAUAAUUGGUUGAAUGGAAGGUUGAGGGCUAUUUAUUAGAGUAUACUGAUUUUGUAAAGCCAGUUGUGAUAAAUGGACUGUGUAGUGUAAAUUGUUCAGUUAGCUUCCUUAGUAAGCUAACAGUUCGGUAUUCUGUUAGAUGUAGUUUAGUUUAGCUUGUUCAGGAAGCUUUAGCUGAAAGUGUAGGCCACUUGAGCAUGUUAUUAUAAUACUCACUGCACAUUCCUCUCUUUUUUAUCUACGCGCUCAGGCGCGUGAGUAAUGCAUUUACACGCCAAAUAAGAAACGGAGGAAGACGAAGAAGUGGUGCGGUUUAUGAAGCGGGUUAUAGCCGCCAUCGUUAUUAUGGGAAAGACAACAAACUCAACUUCUAUUUUUGUAAAUGUAAUACCUAAUUCACGUGUAAUAUUUGUUUUUUAUGUUAAUUUUAGGUUAAAUACAUAAUUAUUUACUACUUAUUUGUAUUAGUUAUGUUUAGAUGUUAAUAUUAAUUAAAUAUAAAUAAUAUAUAAUAAAAUAAUAAUGUAAAAAAUUACAUCAUUUUCUCAACCCUGCACACAUAAAAUAAAUGAAAGAAUUCUAUGCCAAGAGAUAUGCCACGUUUGUUGUUUCUCACCUCACAACAUCACAUGUUCCACAAUUCAUUUAUCAUUUUGUCAACACACUCAUAAGAGAAAGUAGAAAAAGGCUUCACUUCACAGAUUGUUGUUCUGCUUUGUUAAACCACUUUCCAUGGCAAGCUCUCUUUCUACAACCCAUUUUUCCAAUUCUCUUCACCACCUUAGCAUUACUACAAAACCCACCACCCUCUCACUAAGUCAAAACCUUAGAAUAUGUUCCAAGAAUCUUAAUAUACUCAAACUCUCACCAACUAGAUUUAAUGUCACCACAACCUUUGCUGCUUCUUCUGCAGGCAAGUUUUUACUUACUCUUUUGUCUUUUCCCUUUGUAAAGUAAAUAACUUAAAUAAAGUUUUUUGAUGCUGCCACUUAUAGAUUUUGACUGGACUAUAAUUGGAGUUAUAGAAUUCAUCAUAUAAUGAUGAAUAUUAGAUGAUCAAAAUAGUAGAGGAAAGUUAAGGACCAAUUUUCUUAGGCUUAGAACAAUUUAAUCUAUAGAACUGAUUUUGACAAAUGUGACUUUAUGAGAAACUAGUUUUUCAAAUAAGCUUAAUUUUAGCUUUUUUAUGGCUUCUGAGUUAUUUCCAAAAGUCCAACCAAACAAGUAUGCUAGUGUCAGAAGUGAUUUUUUAGUGAAAAUAUAUUAUUUUCAAGAUGUAUUAUAGGAUAUAUUUGUCUAUAUAUAUCUUUCAGUUAUUAUAUGUCAACUUUAUUAUAUCAAGGUAUCUUUAUCAUAUCUCUUAUCUGCAAUUGUGCUUCCUAGAGAUAAUCAAGUUGGUAGAGGAAAGUUAAUUUAUUUUUUCAACAGUCCUUGUGUUAAUUGAAUGGUUAUAUUAAAUAUAAGGAUGAAGUUUCUAUGGAUUUAUGUGAGCAGGA
rnacentral:lncRNA from 1 species